UACGGAGGGAGCUAGCGUUGUUCGGAAUUACUGGGCGUAAAGCGCACGUAGGCGGCUUUGUAAGUUAGAGGUGAAAGCCCGGGGCUCAACCCCGGAAUAGCCUUUAAGACUGCAUCGCUUGAAUCCGGGAGAGGUGAGUGGAAUUCCGAGUGUAGAGGUGAAAUUCGUAGAUAUUCGGAAGAACACCAGUGGCGAAGGCGGCUCACUGGACCGGUAUUGACGCUGAGGUGCGAAAGCGUGGGGAGCAAACAGG
rnacentral:rRNA from 1 species